rnacentral:rRNA from 1 species
CCUACGGGUGGCUGCAGUAGGGAAUCUUCCGCAAUGGACGAAAGUCUGACGGAGCAACGCCGCGUGUGUGAAGAAGGCCUUCGGGUUGUAAAGCACUUUCAGCGGGGAGGAAGGCGGUGAGGUUAAUAACCUCAUCGAUUGACGUUACCCGCAGAAGAAGCACCGGCUAACUCCGUGCCAGCAGCCGCGGUAAUACGGAGGGUGCAAGCGUUAAUCGGAAUUACUGGGCGUAAAGCGCACGCAGGCGGUCUGUCAAGUCGGAUGUGAAAUCCCCGGGCUCAACCUGGGAACUGCAUUCGAAACUGGCAGGCUAGAGUCUUGUAGAGGGGGGUAGAAUUCCAGGUGUAGCGGUGAAAUGCGUAGAGAUCUGGAGGAAUACCGGUGGCGAAGGCGGCCCCCUGGACAAAGACUGACGCUCAGGUGCGAAAGCGUGGGGAGCAAACAGGAUUAGAUACCCCAGUAGUC